AAAAACACUAUAGUAUUUUUUCAACUGGGCUCAAAUGAACAACCAACGCCAGGCUCUUUGGGGACCACGUCUGCAGUUUAUUGACAGAGGACAGAAAAUCAACACACAGAAAAAUUAUGUGGAGAAACUUAUUAACAAGGAAAACCUGUAAUUUGGCGCGCAGGCGGCAACAUAAAACAAAGACGUGCGUUAAUAAAACUACAAAAAUACAUCGAACUGUUUGCAGAAAAACGCAUACAUAAACUUGUUCCGGUUUUAUGGCACUUCUAUAAUUAAUACCAACUCAAAACAUAACUCAAUACAGCAUAUUUUCACUCUUUAACGUAGAGAACAGCAGACACUUACCUGACUGACUCUCACCGGCUCUUGUUCUGACUGAGAUAACAGGCGCGUGACUGGUCCAUUACAAAUGACGUCACUCAAAGAGCGCGCCGCUCAAUAAUGCUAGUGCUUACUGCUUACUUCUAUCAACUGUAGUCUGCUGCUUUUGUUUUCAAGAAGAGAAAAGCAAUUUCGGGAAUUAUUAAAUAACAUCUGGAUGCAUUCAUAUGUGGUAAAAGGUCUCCUGCAUGACAGAUCUGGUCCUGUGGGUGUCAGUAUCACACAUACCCCCUUUCCACCAGCACGAACCGGGUGCUAGUUCAGAGCUAGUGCUAGUGUGUCCUACAAACUCCUUCUGUAGCAGCUGAAAUCUGUGUGACUGUUAAAGAUGGAGUUUAUUAAAGAGGAGAUUGAAGACAUGAGUGAUCCAGAACCAUCCAGAAUAAAACAUGAAGAUACUGAGGAACAAAUAGACUGGAUGGAGAUGAAAUAGCAAAAACAUGAACUGAAUGAAGCAGAGGAGGAAAAGCAUAGCAUUGAAAUUCAAAGAACAAAAGAUAAGCCAUACACCUGCUUUCAGUGUGGAAAGAGUUUCAGUCGCAAAGGAAACCUUAAAACACACAUAAGAAUUCACUCUGGAGAAAAACCGUUUACAUGCACUCAGUGUGGAAAGAGUUUUGCUUGUCACUCAGGCCUCACAUUUCAUCUGCUCCGUCACUCUGGGGAAAAACCAUAUAACUGUGAUCAGUGUGGUAAAGAUUUUAUUUCUGCAUCAAAUCUAAAAACACAUCUGAAAGUUCAUUCAGGUGAGAAGCCUUAUGUGUGUUCUCUCUGUGGAAAGAGUUUUUCAAGGAUGGAUGGUUUUAAACUGCACCAGAAAACACAUAAUGAAGCAAGAGAUCAUGUGUGUUGUGACUGUGGGAAGAGCUUUAUUACAGCUGGUGAACUGAAACGGCAUCGAAGAAUUCAUACUGGAGAAAAACCUUACAAGUGCUCAUAUUGUGACAAGAGUUUCACUCAGUCUGCACACCUGAAAAUACAUGAGCGAGUUCAUACUGGAGAGAAGCCGUACCACUGUACUCAGUGUAAGAAGAGUUUCAGAGAUGCAACAUGUUUGAGAAUUCAUCUGCUCUGUCAUUCUGGAGAAAAACCAUAUAACUGUGAUCAUUGUGGUAAAAAGUUUAAUUCAUCAUCAAAUCUAAAGCGACACCUGAAAGUUCAUUCAGGUGAGAAGCCUUAUGUGUGUUCUCUCUGUGGAAAGAGUUUUUCAUGGCUGAAAAGUUUUAAACUGCACCAGAAAACACAUAAUGAAGUGAAAGAUCAUCUCCCAGUUUCACAGACAAGGCUUAAUCUAAUCCCAGACUAAAAUGCAUGUUUGAGCUGUUUUAACUGAAAGCAUAUCUUAAAAUAUGUCAGUGCAGUAAUGUAUUUUCUAGGGUAUGUUCAUAAAAGCUACUUAAAUGCCCUAAUUGAACUAAGGCCUAAUCCUGGCUUAGUCUAAGCCCUGUCUGUGAAACCGGGCCCAUGUGUGUUUGUGACUGUGGGAAGAGCUUUAAUAGAGCUGACUGUCUGAAUCAGCACCGAAGAAUUCAUACGGGAGAAAAACCUUGCGAGUGUUCAUACUGGAGAGAAGCUGUACCACUCUACUCAGUGUAGGAAGAGUUUAAAUGUUUAUCAGGCCUCUAAACUCAUAUGAAAAAAUGUUGCAACUGAGGACUGCAAUGUUUGUGAAAUGUGAAAAAACAGCAUGAGUAGCUCUAGCUGCUGAUUACUGGUCACUGCAGUGAGCAUAAAAAGCAUUAUUUCAUAAUCAUUAUGCACACAGCAUGUUUGUUGAAACCUGGAAGCCACAGAGAGAACACUUUUUUAAAUUUUCAUCUAACAAUGUACAAUAUAAUACAAUAUUUAUAAUUAAAUUGUCUAUAAAUAAUAUAUAUUGUUUAUAUUAAUGGUCUAUAAAUUAUUAAUUUUUUGUGUCAAAUUCUAUAGGGAUUUAUAUACAUCUAAAUUUUUCAAAAAACAUGAUGGGUUUUUUUUUCAAUCACUACCUUCAAUAAAUUAAGUAUUACUGAUCAAGCUUUUUGCAAUGAUUCCAUUACUUUAAAAGAAACUGAUGAAGCAAUUAAAUGUUUAAAAAAAAUAAAUCCCCUGGUUCUCAGAGCUCUGUCAAUUGUUUAGUAAAAACAGCUCCCUUCUUGUUAAAUAUUACCAGCACAGAUAAAUCCCUUCUUCCAACUACUUUAUUCCAACGACCAAUUACUUUUAAUACACUUAUUUUCUUUGUAAAUUUUAUAUCCAUAAAUGCAAGUUCAACAACAAAACAUUUUUUUAAAUAAUAUAAAAAGUACAUCAAAUCUAUUAUCUUCAGUAAAUAAAAAGCAAGUUAACAACUUAAAUUUGCAAUGCGUUCAAUUUGCAUAAUCUAAUUUAUGUAUAAAUCAAUCUCUUACUCAUGUAUUCCCCUUUCCUUUUAUUUUGUUGACUGUAGGUGCACUGUUUAUAAAUGUUGUGUUUUACAAAUAUGUAAACUGUAU